AGAAAACUGUGUGACGUUAAAAGAAACCAGUGAGAUAAAAUCAUAGAAAAUGUAUGAUGAUUCAGGAUGUGGUCAUUUGUGACAUUAAAACAGGAAUUGUCAUCACCAAUAGACGAAUUUCACAUUCCUAAGAGUUUUCUCCAAUUGUCGGCGUAUCGUUCAUUUUUCCCACUUUGUCCUUUGUCCUGUUCUGUGGAUGUCCUCAGUCAGUGUCUACCCAUCACUCCAUGUCACACUGGACUAAUUUUCUAGGUCAAAGAUCAUAGGUGAUGUGAAGAAAACCAGGAAACUGAUGUUGAAAGGAGUACUUAAUGACCCUUAUGAAUGGACUUGAAUGUGAAAGACUGUCUAUUGUUUAUCUAAGAUAUAUGAAUUUAUUUAAUAUUUUGAUAUCAUUGAAAAAUUCAGUUACAGUUUUUGUACAUCAAAUGAAUUAUUAAACAUUUA